UUUGGGUUCCCCAUAUUCCAUAAUGUCUCUGAGAAUUUUUCUCGAAUUUUUGGAGCUUUCGGAAUAUUUUUCAUGACUUAAAUAAUGAUUCUGGAUUUUUCUAGAAUUACUUUAUCCAUGAAAUUAAUUAAUUCUGAAAAUCAUAAAACAUCUAUUCCUUUUAAUGCUCAAAUAUCAUGUGUAAUAAUUAUAAUAAAUCCCAAAGACCAUGUCUUUAUUUAUUAAUUGGCUUUAAUGUUUAUUUAGACCCAUUAGUAAAGGUGGAAGGUGCAACAUCAAUUAGUACCAUAUUGAUAGUUGAUGUAAAUGUGGAGAGUUUUUCUCCCUAUAUAUAUGUACUAACCCCUUAGGCCAAAGCACACCAAUAUCUACCAUAGGGGAAGUCCCUGGUUUGGGAAAUCCCUCGCGUAGUAAAUUAAAAUUUUCUUUCUUCUUGACACCGUCGGUUAACAUUGACGAUUUCUUCGGCGAGCUUCUCCAGCCAUCUCGAGUGUCUCUGAUGAGGAUCAUUAUCAUGAGCUACCUCUCCUGUCGCCGCAGUUGUUGAUGCCGUCAACGGCCCCUCCGUCUUUCUGAGUUCCGCGUAGAGGAAACAGACGUCUGUUCCGUCGAUCUUGAGCCUAUCGCCCUUCAACUUCAUCGCUGCCAUCGAUCACCAACGGUGAUGCCGUCUGCUGCUAGCCAGCGACCAGCGCUCGUCAUUCGCUUCGGCUGCACGGUGAGCAUCUGAAGAUGCUUGUGUGGUGCUUUGUGAUCAUGUCCAGUCGGUGAGCUUUACGUGGUGAUCAAGAAACAGAUCAUUGAAGGUUUGGAACUAGAAGAAGGAUCUAAGUUUAAGGCAAGUAUAGCAUGGGAUCAUCCUUGUUUCCUAAUAACUUU